rnacentral:rRNA from 1 species
UACGUAGGGUGCAGGCGUUAAUCGGAAUUACUGGGCGUAAAGCGUGCGCAGGCGGUUUCUUAAGUCAGAUGUGAAAGCCCCGGGCUUAACCUGGGAACUGCGUUUGAAACUGGGAGACUUGAGUGUGGCAGAGGGGGGUGGAAUUCCACGUGUAGCAGUGAAAUGCGUAGAUAUGUGGAGGAACACCAAUGGCGAAGGCAGCCCCCUGGGUCAACACUGACGCUCAUACACGAAAGCGUGGGGAGCAAACAGG